ACUCCUGCGGGAGGCAGCAGUGAGGAAUAUUGGACAAUGGGUGGAAGCCUGAUCCAGCCAUCCCGCGUGCAGGAAGACGGCCCUCUGGGUUGUAAACUGCUUUUAUCUGGGGAUAAACCUACUUACGUGUAAGUAGCUGAAGGUACCAGAAGAAUAAGCACCGGCUAACUCCGUGCCAGCAGCCGCGGUAAUACGGAGGGUGCAAGCGUUAUCCGGAUUUAUUGGGUUUAAAGGGUCCGUAGGCGGACUGAUAAGUCAGUGGUGAAAUCCGACAGCUUAACUGUCGAACUGCCAUUGAUACUGUUAGUCUUGAGUAAGGUUGAAGUGGCUGGAAUAAGUAGUGUAGCGGUGAAAUGCAUAGAUAUUACUUAGAACACCAAUUGCGAAGGCAGGUCACUAAGUCUUAACUGACGCUGAUGGACGAAAGCGUGGGGAGCGAACAGGAUUAGAAACCCUUGUAGUCCCAUGA
rnacentral:rRNA from 1 species